GGUGCAUUUAUCCAUAAAUGUUUCUUUUUAUAUACUAUAUUGCACUAUUUUACUAUUUUUCUCUAUUCCAUAUACAUCAAGGGGCUAUAAUUAAAGAUAUACCCUUUUGGAUAUACUCCUGCUGGGAAAACAAGGUUGAAUAUCAUAACCAUCUUGUGAGUGCUAUCCCUUCCCCCUCUCCCUGUCCAUUAGUGUUUAAAGGAACACUAUAGUCACCAG